rnacentral:rRNA from 1 species
GACGAACGCUGGCGGCGUGCCUAAUACAUGCAAGUAGAACGCUGAAGAGAGGAGCUUGCUCUUCUUGGAUGAGUUGCGAACGGGUGAGUAACGCGUAGGUAACCUGCCUUGUAGCGGGGGAUAACUAUUGGAAACGAUAGCUAAUACCGCAUAACAAUGGAUGACACAUGUCAUUUAUUUGAAAGGGGCAAUUGCUCCACUACAAGAUGGACCUGCGUUGUAUUAGCUAGUAGGUGAGGUAAUGGCUCACCUAGGCGACGAUACAUAGCCGACCUGAGAGGGUGAUCGGCCACACUGGGACUGAGACACGGCCUAGACUCCUACGGGAGGCAGCAGUAGGGAAUCUUCGGCAAUGGGGGCAACCCUGACCGAGCAACGCCGCGUGAGUGAAGAAGGUUUUCGGAUCGUAAAGCUCUGUUGUAAGUCAAGAACGGGUGUGAGAGUGGAAAGUUCACACUGUGACGGUAGCUUACCAGAAAGGGACGGCUAACUACGUG